GAGGGUACCGCUCAGUGGUAGAGCCCAUGCUUAGCACGCACGAGGUCCUGGGUUCAACUCCCCGUACCUCCA
rnacentral:tRNA from 1 species